CAACGUAGGGAACCUGCCCAUGCGGCCGGGACAACUUCCGGAAACGGAUGCUGAUACCGGAUAAGGAAAGCGAAGGCAUCUUUGCUUUGUUAAAGGAGCUGCAAGGCUCCGCGCAUGGAUGGACCUGCGGUGCAUUAGCCGGUUGGUGAGGUAAAGGCUCACCAAGGCGACGAUGCAUAGCCGGCCUGAGAGGGCGAACGGCCACACUGGGACUGAGACACGGCCCAGACUCCUACGGGAGGCAGCAG
rnacentral:rRNA from 1 species